ensembl:lncRNA
GGAGGAAGACAGAAGGAUGGGGGGUGGAGGAAGACAGAAGGAUGGAGGAAGACAGUAGGAUGGGGGAUGGAGGAAGACAGAAGGAUGGAGGAAGACAGAAGGAUGGGGGGUGGAGGAAGACAGUAGGAUGGAGGAAGACAGAAGGACGGAGGAUGGAGGAAGACAGAAGGAUGGAGGAAGACAGAAGGAUGGAGGAAGACAGAAGGAUGGGGGAUGGAGGAAGACAGAGGGAUGGAGGAAGACAGAAGGAUGGAGGAAGACAGAAGGAUGGAGGAAGACAGAAGGAUGGGGGGUGGAGGAAGACAGAAGGAUGGAGGAAGACAGAAGGAUGGGGGAUGGAGGAAGACAGUUGGAUGGAGGAAGACAGAAGGAUGGAGGAAGACAGAAGGAUGGGAGGUGGAGGAAGACAGAAGGAUGGGAGGUGGAGGAAGACAGAAGGAUGGGGGAUGGAGGAAGACAGUAGGAUGGGGGAUGGAGGAAGA